AUGAUACAAUAUAACUAUUAAAAGGUGAUCUAAGUUACCCCAGGUAGGGGUGUUCAAAAAAACCCGACCCGAUUGUCCCGACCCGCUGAUCUGCUGUCCCGGCAAAUACCCGAUGGGAAUUUUACGAAAAAAACCUGUCUUCUAUCCGGGUCGGAACAUGGGCCGGAUUUUUCCAGAAUCGGGUACUCGAUUACCCGAAUUAAAAAUUAAAAAAAAAAAAUCACCCUCAAAACUCCUCACUUCCUCAAACAGCCCCCUUUCACGAAAUUAGGGUUCUCAAUCUCCUCUCUCUCUCUCCGCCGCUCCCUCUCUUCCUCUCUCUCUCUCUUCGUGUCUCUCUCUCUCUCUUAGUGUCUCUCUCUCUUCCUGCUCUUCAUGCCUUCUUCUUCCUUCACAGAUCUUCCCUUCACGAGUUUAAGUUCAAGCGAGUUUAAGCCUUCAGUCUCAGGAAUUAAAGACUUGGUUUUGGACCAACCAACGAUUAUUAUUGAUGAGACAACUGAAGUUUCGGAUCUCACAAGUGAAUGAAACACGACCUCCAAGCUUAUUUAAUUUGCAUUGUGGCGUUGUUAUAUUAUUGUACUUUGUAUUUGUAAUUUGUAUGUUUGGAAUUAUGUAACUAAUGACUUCCCCUAAACUUUAACUUUUAAUUAGUACUUUAAUAUGUUAAAA